UGGGGGCACCCUGAUCCAGCCAUGCCGCGUGUGUGAAGAAGGCCUUCGGGUUGUAAAGCACUUUCAGAUGUGAGGAAAGGUAUGUGGUUAAUACCCGCAUACUGUGACGUUAACAUCAGAAGAAGGACCGGCUAACUCCGUGCCAGCAGCCGCGGUAAUACGGAGGGUCCGAGCGUUAAUCGGAAUUACUGGGCGUAAAGCGCGCGUAGGUGGUUCAGUCAGUCAGAUGUGAAAGCCCCGGGCUCAACCUGGGAAUUGCACCUGAUACUGCUGAGCUAGAGUACGGUAGAGGGUAGUGGAAUUUCCGGUGUAGCGGUGAAAUGCGUAGAGAUCGGAAGGAACACCAGUGGCGAAGGCGACUACCUGGACCGAUACUGACACUGAGGUGCGAAAGCGUGGGUAGCAAACAGGAUUAGAUACCCUGGUAGUCCACGCCGUAAACGAUGUCAACUAGCCGUUGGGGGACUUGAUCCUUUAGUGGCGCAGCUAACGCGAUAAGUUGACCGCCUGGGGAGUACGGCCGCAAGGUUAAAACUCAAAUGAAUUGACGGGGGCCCGCACAAGCGGUGGAGCAUGUGGUUUAAUUCGAAGCAACGCGAAGAACCUUACCUACUCUUGACAUCCUGCGAACUUGGUAGAGAUACCUUGGUGCCUUCGGGAACGCAGAGACAGGUGCUGCAUGGCUGUCGUCAGCUCGUGUUGUGAAAUGUUGGGGUUAAGUCCCGUAACGAGCGCAACCCCUAUCCUUAUUUGCCAGCACUUCGGGUGGGAACUCUAAAGGAGACUGCCGGUGACAAACCGGAGGAAGGGUGGGGGAUGACGUCAAGUCAUCAUGGGCCCUUA
rnacentral:rRNA from 1 species